AACGCGAAGAACCUUACCAAGGCUUGACAUGCAGGGAAAAGCCGUGGAGACACGGUGUCCGUAAGGGUCCUGCACAGGUGGUGCAUGGCUGUCGUCAGCUCGUGUCGUGAGAUGUUGGGUUAAGUCCCGCAACGAGCGCAACCCUUAUCCUAUGUUGCCAGCGGGUAAUGCCGGGGACUCAUGGGAGACUGCCGGGGUCAACUCGGAGGAAGGUGGGGAUGAGGUCAAGUCAUCAUGCCCCUUAUGUCUUGGGCUGCAAACAUGCUACAAUGGCCGGUACAGAGGGCUGCGAGACCGCAAGGUGGAGCGAAUCUCAAAAAGCCGGUCUCAGUUCGGAUUGGGGUCUGCAACUCGACCCCAUGAAGUCGGAGUCGCUAGUAAUCGCAGAUCAGCAACGCUGCGGUGAAUACGUUCCCGGGCCUUGUACACACCGCUGUA
rnacentral:rRNA from 1 species